rnacentral:rRNA from 1 species
GAUGAACGCUGGUGGCGCGCCUAACACAUGCAAGUCGAACGGCACCCACCUCCGGGUGGAAGCGAGUGGCGAACGGYUGAGUAACACGUGGAGAACCUGCCCCCUCCUCCGGGAUAGCCGCGGGAAACCGCGGGUAAUACCGGAUGACGCCCGGGAAGCGCAUGCUGCCCGGGCCAAAGCCCAGACGGGAGGGGAUGGCUCCGCGGCCCAUCAGGUAGACGGCGGGGUGACGGCCCACCGUGCCGACAACGGGUAGCCGGGUUGAGAGACCGACCGGCCAGWUUGGGACUGAGACACGGCCCAGACUCCUACGGGAGGCAGCAGUGGGGAAUCUUGCGCAAUGGGGGAAACCCUGACGCAGCGACGCCGCGUGCGGGACGAAGGCCUUCGGGUCGUAA